ACCACUGUACCGACUUCGGAUCGAAGUACCCACCUGUACUAAUAUGGUACAAAUCUUCUACCUGCGGAGGAAAUAUCAACCGUACCUAUGAAGGGUCUACCGGGUUAGUAUCUAACCCACAACUAAUAACCACUGAAAUCACAAAUCCACAAAUUAAUCCGACGGAGAUCGAUUUCCCAAAACUGACUACCGUAACUCGCCGGAAGUCCCGAAGCCGCACCGGGACUCUGCCGAGACCCACGAACUGUCUCAAAAAACACCGACUCAUAGUACGAGUCACCCGCUGCCACAAAACACCAUUAUUCAUGGUUCUUGGCAGCAAACACAUCGUUUUACGUCGAAACGAUUAUCGUCGGAUAAUCGUUUCGAUCCGGGUUCCCGGAAGUGUCAAUUUCGACACCAGAACUCACCGUC
rnacentral:lncRNA from 1 species